CACCGGGCCCUGCCUGGCGGCGAGCCCUGCCGCGGAGUACGGAACUCCCCACGAGCCGCGCUCCGGCCGCGGCAUCCGGAGCUUAGAUAAGCAGCAUUAUCCCAAAACCCAACAGAAUCCCAGCGUUCUGUAAUAGGAAAUAUCCCCAGCGGCUACAUCCAUGAUCACUAGCAUCAUUGUGGAGCAUUUCAGGCACCUAAGCAAACAAGAAAGUGCUCAGGAUGAAGCAGCAUGCAGCACAAGUGGUCCAUGAAUCACGACUCAGCAUGAGAGGUUCUCAUGUAUGGAAAGUCUCAGAGAAAGGUGCAGCAGAAUCACAUCUAGCUUUCUAUUUAUCCAGAGUAUGCCAGCAAACAAGGAUAUACAUGAGCAACAUGAUAUUCACAACAUUUAUGCAAGCCUACACAGAAGGAGGACAACAUGGAAGCCAUAUAAAGAAUGCAGAAGAGGACUAUUAGAAACUCAGCUAAGUACAGUAAAAAAAAAAAAAAAAAAGAAAAAAGAAAAAAAAAGAAAAGUUCCUCAGACUGCAAAGGAGGGGCAGGGAAACAAACAUAAUUACCAAUUAAUUGUGUGUAAGGGACAGCAGAAGUUCAUCUGAGAAGUGAAAUGCACCAAAUACUGAACAAAAGCAAUUCCACCAGCGUUGUGUGUGUGUUUUUUCUUUUUUUUUUUUAAAAAUAUUGUAUGUCAGUGUUAACAGUUUUUAAAAUGUGCUUAAGGAAAACCAAGUAAAAUCUGUAAAAUCUACAAUCAUCUCUGACCAAUGUAUGUAUCACACCAAUUUAUGAUCAGUGACUUAAUAUCUAGAAAACAGGAAAUCCAUUCCCAUGGCUGAGAGAUAAGGAACAUAGCAAAUAUUUCCCUUGCUUGGAACUCUUCAACAUCUCUUAAUGAAGAAAUUUAACUACAGAUAAAUUUAACUAGGGAAAAUGAUACUGUCACUCACAGUUAUUUCAGCUUACUUCUGUAUAAACCACUCCUGCCCAACACAACCUCCUGUGACCAAAGCUGAAGAGCUUACAUGGCAAUUUAGACUGCAGCCUUAAUGACAGAUUUAAAAAUAAAAUCUGGAGACAGAGGCUAUGUGGUAGCCUCGAAACUAGCUUUUUCUGAGCUUUCUAAAUAACUAGUAGUUAAGCUUUUCUUCAAGAAAAGUAGUAAACAAAUCCCUGACUUUUACUGAAUAAGACAUCAUUAUCUGUGUCUUUGCUGUACUGGCCUUUACUGGAGUUACCAACAUUUACAAUCCAUCAAAAUCAUACUAUUCUCUACCUUCCACAUAAAGCGUAACCAUAAUAAUCCAAAACCUGUAUAAUUCUCUUCUUUUUUGGAGAAGAAAAGGAAAGACUAGAAAGGAGGGACCUAGGGGGAGGAAAGUCUGCAUUUAGAAAGUCAUUACUUUUUAUAAGGUAGUCAGAUGCUUAUUUGUGGUAAGUAAGAAGUUACUGCCACCGUCACCCAUUUGGUGCAAGUGCCCCCUCCAAUAGAAGGGUGGUAUAACUGCAUGAGGUCUCUUACUUCAUCUGAUAUAAGAGUUUAAAAAAUAAAAAAAGCAGAUAACUAUCUCCUCGAGAGGUCAGAAGGAAGUCAGUAACAAGCAGUAAUUUCUCAGAUCACUAACUGAGAUAACAAAGGGUGUACUUGGAUGUUUGCUUAUUAAACAAUUCACUGUGGUGUUAAGCCUGUACUACUUGUCUGGUUAAGGAAAUAGCUCUCAUAAUUCCUCCCUACAUGACUACACACACACACACACACACACACCACAAACAAACUUGUUACAAUCUAGUUUGAAAGAAUAAAUGUGGUUAAACUAAAAUUGUAACACUAAUCAAUUCAGCAAAAAUUGGCUUGCUAUUAAAUCCAAUCAAUAGUCAGAUAUAUACAUAAAUUUUUCUUUUUAUGAGAGUGUAUUGAGAAAACAUCAUGCAAUAAAGCUUCAAAAUAUA